CCGGUGCGACGUGGAAAUGUGUCCGACAGAAAUUUAACCAUUAUAUCGAAGUUUGAGAAGUUCUGCUGCUUGUUUACUCUUUUAAACUCGUAUCUGUAUAAAACGCUAUGUAUAUGCUUAAUGGUAAAUCACUGUAAGGUAAAACUAGCUUGUCAAAAUGAACGCCAAAGUAUUAUUCGUCAUAUCUGCGGUCUUUUCACUGGCAGCUGCGGCAGCGGGUGAGAUGGUGAAUAUAUCCAAAGGAAAGAUGGUCAUGGGAACCAGUGCAGCUGAUGGGAGAGAUGGAGAGGCGCCCGUCAAGGAGGUUAAAGUGAAGCCCUUUAAAAUGGACAAAUACCCGGUGACAAAUACUGAUUUCAGAGACUUUGUGAGAGCACAGAAGUACAAAACUGAAGCCGAGACGUUUGGUUGGAGUUUUGUGUUUCAAGACUUUGUGUCAGAAGAGCUGAAGAGCAAAGUCACACAGAAGAUUGAGUCUGCUCCUUGGUGGCUGCCUAUUGAUCGGGUGUUUUGGAGACAGCCUGCAGGACCUGGUUCAGGCAUUCGGGAGCGUCUGAGCUUCCCUGUGGUCCAGGUGAGCUGGAACGAUGCUCAGGCGUUCUGCCGCUGGAAGGGCAAGAGACUCCCUACUGAGGAGGAGUGGGAGUGGGCUGCACGAGGGGGGCUGCAAGGUCGGAUUUUCCCAUGGGGAAACAAGUUCCAGGCCAACCGUACCAACCUGUGGCAGGGAUCCUUUCCAGACGGAGACACGGCAGAGGACGGUUACCAUGGCGUCUCUCCUGUCACAGCAUUUCCUCCUCAGAACAGUUAUGGGCUGUAUGACAUGAUGGGGAACACUUGGGAAUGGACCUCCACACCCUUUCCUGCAGCACAGCCACAUUUUGUCCUGCGAGGCGGCUCCUGGAUCGACACGCUGGACGGCUCAGCCAAUCAUAAGGCGCGAAUCACAACAAGGAUGGGCAACACUCCGGACUCUGCCUCUGACAACCUGGGAUUCAGGUGUGCCUGAUGAUGAUGGAGAGAAACAAGGGAAGAAAAAAGACAAAACUGAACUGUAGCAACACAGGAAAUACAAAGUGAAGGAUACAAAAGUUCUUAGGAAUCAAACAGAGAAGAAGGAAAAAAACAAGGGACCAAUCAGAUUCUUGUUGCUCGUGGACUCAUUUCACUGACUGGAGAAAGAGGACACUUCCUUUCACACGCUGGCGUCUGUUUUGGUGAGCAUGUGACUGGAGAGUAAAUGAGUCCAUGGGAUAAAUCUCAGUGUCCUAUAAUCCUGUCUUUGUCUGUUUUCUUUCUCAUCACAAGAGGACAGCUUAGUGGUUGUUUGGACUCAAUCUGUUCAACCUCGCAUAUUUUUGUGUCUAAACUCCACUUUUAUUUUAGUAUCAAAGAACUGUGUAAAGCAAACAAAUGGACCACUACUGAUUACACAAUCCAGAGUGUGUGGAUUUAAAUAUGUUUUAGUGUUAAUAGUUUGUUAGAAUAAUUUCAUUGCCAACAUCUUUUUUUAAUUAUAUUUAUAUCAACAAAUGUACCAGCAUCUGUUAUUGUAGUGUUUAUUCCUUGGGCAAAUCAGUGUUUUGGUUCUAUUUGCCAUUUUUACAUAGACAACAUUUUUAUUGUGCCCAAAGAAACUUGUGCAAACUUGACUUAAAGUAGUUUCAUAGAUUCGUUCUCUUUUUGAUACAAUAUCUUGCAGGAUUUUGUAUUUCUCUGUCUUGUUAAUAUCUAUUCUUUACAAUACUGAAACAAGAGAAAGUUUCCCACUGACUUUUUUUAAGUUCAACCUUUUUUUUUAGAAUAAAAUGGAAGUUAUUGUAGAUGAUAGAAGAAUAA